UCUCCGUAGGUGAACCUGUGGAGGGAUCAUUACCGAGUGAGGGCUCACGCCCGACCUCCAACCCUGUGUGAACACAUCUUGUUGCUUCGGGGGCGACCCUGCCUUUCGGGCAGUGCGCCCCCGGAGGAUAUCAAAACGCUGCAUCUUUGCGUCGGAGUAUCAAUCAAAUUGAACAAAACUUUCAACAACGGAUCUCUUGGUUCUGGCAUCGAUGAAGAACGCAGC
rnacentral:misc_RNA from 1 species